AUAUCCUAUUAAUUCUAAAAUGUUAAUAUAAGCAAAUGAUGUAUCAAAAUGUGCUACAGUAGACAACCAUGGAUACAUAUAUACUCGAAAAACAGAAUUCUGUAGUUGAAUGAGAGGAAACUCUAAAAGAGAGUUGCAGUCAUGACCAGAGGAAUAAGAGCAAUCAUCCUCUGCUGUGGCUCUCACUUACAGCUAAGACUUCUCCAGAGCAACUCAGCAGCUGAAUCCUCAUAUCUCAUUUGUGAGAACUGGAUCAAGUGACCACUCAUGAGUCUUUCAACAUCAGUGGGGAUAUAAUUAACAGUAUUCGUUUAGAUUAAUCAUUUAGAUAGAAAGGCUCUCAGAAAGUAAAACAUAAUAUCUACUGCAAUGCCUAUUUCAAAUAAUACAGACACACACAACUCAGAUACAACUCCUAGUCUUUCUUUAUUUGACUGUAUUUUACCUCUAUAUGGGAAAUUUUUGUCUCUUUCAUUUAUUUGGAAUUCUCAGUCUUUCUUAGCUCGUGGUGUAUAGUGGAUGCUAAAUAAUGAAUUAGUAAUUAUGUGAUAGAGUCAAAUAUGGUAUUUAAAAGAUGAAGCAAGGAGUAUAUUUGAAGCUGCUAGGGAGGGAAACUGAGGUGAUCCUGUUAAUUGAGAUAGAACAGAGGAGGAGCAAUAGGACUUAUUCCUUAGGGAUUGACAGGCAAUGUGUUCACUUUCUCUUCCUAAGUUUGAGGUGCUACAACAUAUUUGCAUGUAUUUAACCAGAAGAAAAUGAAAAUAAAUCUCUAAAAUUUAGGGAAGAGACUAGAUUUGAAUAAAGACCUUAUAAUCAUUGGUGAAUAAUAUCAUUUAUUUGUGAAAUGCAAUGAUUUCCCAAGCCAUCUGAAAAGACAUUACAAUGCAACACUUUAUCAUGUAGGGUGGCAGCAAAGAAAAAGAUAGAAUAUAAACAGUCUCAGAAGGAGGAGGUGAAACUCCUAGAUAAGUAGCAGUGAAUACAGUAAAUGGGGAGAUGUGCUGCUCAUAGAGGCAUACGAGAUUGUGAAAAGUGUUUUUGAAGAGAAAUGGAAGCUGCUUGAAGUGGCUUUUAAUCCUUUUAGGCCCAAGAUCACAUACUUAGUAGGUAUCAGAGCAAAGAGUCGAAUCCAAAUUUAUUUGUCUUCAAUGCAUAUGAUGUUCUUUUUAUUAUCCCAAACUUCCUAUGUAAAAAUCUUUAAACAUUGGUUCUUGAAGAAUGAAAGUCUAACACUCAUGGAAGAACAGUAUUUCCAGAUACUUGUAUACAUUUAUAAUUUAAUUUGGUAUUCUCAACAAACCCUCAAGUUAGUAUGACUCUGUUAGUAACUCUCUUAUCACACUCAAGAUUAAACGUAAGCCCUUAGCAUGUUCUAGCCCCACUGGCCUUCUUUUUUCUCUUUUUUUGCCCCUCUACCAUAGGAAGUACAUUUCUGCCUCAAAGCUCUUACUCCCUGCUCCUUCUAUCCUAAAGUAGAAGAGUUUUAUGUAUUUAUUUGGUACUCAAUUUCCCAGUCUUUGUCAAUUCUCCUUGAAGAGACUUUACUCGACUCCUG
rnacentral:lncRNA from 1 species